UCUUGAGUACUAUCUAUUUAA
rnacentral:piRNA from 1 species